rnacentral:misc_RNA from 2 species
AACGCACCUUGCGCUCCUUGGUAUUCCGAGGAGCAUGCCUGUUUGAGUGUCAUUAAAUUCUCAACCCUUUCAGCUUUUGCGAGCUGGAUUGGCUUGGAUGUGGGGGUUUGCGGGCUUCUCAGAAGUCGGCUCCUCUUAAAUACAUUAGCGGAACCUUUGUGGACCAGCUUUGGUGUGAUAAUUAUCUACGCCAUGGUUGUGAAGCAGCUUUAUAUGGGGUUCAGCUUCUAACCGUCCAUUGACUUGGACAAUUUCUGACAUUUUGACCUCAAAUCAGGUAGGACUACCCGCUGAACUUAA